rnacentral:tRNA from 1 species
GCCUGGGUGGUUCAGUCGGUUGAGCGUCCCACUUCAGCUGGGGUCAUGAUCUCGUGGUUUGUGAGUUCGAGCCCCGCAUCAGGCU